GUGGGGAAUAUUGGACAAUGGGCGCAAGCCUGAUCCAGCCAUGCCGCGUGUGUGAAGAAGGCCUUAUGGUUGUAAAGCACUUUAAGCGAGGAGGAGGCUACUUUAGUUAAUACCUAGAGAUAGUGGACGUUACUCGCAGAAUAAGCACCGGCUAACUCUGUGCCAGCAGCCGCGGUAAUACAGAGGGUGCAAGCGUUAAUCGGAUUUACUGGGCGUAAAGCGCGCGUAGGCGGCUAAUUAAGUCAAAUGUGAAAUCCCCGAGCUUAACUUGGGAAUUGCAUUCGAUACUGGUUAGCUAGAGUGUGGGAGAGGAUGGUAGAAUUCCAGGUGUAGCGGUGAAAUGCGUAGAGAUCUGGAGGAAUACCGAUGGCGAAGGCAGCCAUCUGGCCUAACACUGACGCUGAGGUGCGAAAGCAUGGGGAGCAAACAGGAUUAGAAACCCCAGUAGUCC
rnacentral:rRNA from 1 species